GUAAACAAUGACAGGGGGGCACUUGCAAGGGGGUGUGUGCUCAGCUGGGAAGGGACAGCAGAGGGAACAGCUCGACAAGAAACCUGCUGUGCUGUAGAAGAGGUUAGAGAGUAAGGGGAGUUCUGGGAACAGCCCAGGGACAAUGGAGAGGGCUGGAAGCCAGAACAGGGCCUCACAUUUUCAUCUGCUGUGGUCCAAUGAAGGAACAUCUACUGCAGCAUCUCAGAAAGCUGGCCAAACAAACAGGGGUGAUUCCUACAGGUAAUUCCUGCCCUUCCUGGAGCACACUGUACACCCACCUGGCUACCACUUCAUCUCCAGGCUCUCCUUGCAGUGACAGCAGACACAGGACACUGGCACAGGAGGGUGACACCACAGACAAAUGGAGAGAGGCAACGGGACAGCCAAGCUGGGAUAAGGAGGAUGGAGAAGGUGGUCCAACCAACAACUGGCCAGAAGGGAUAAUGGAAAUGGGAGGUGUAGGAAUGAAGCAGAAAAUUACUAACCAUGGAAUUGGGAGAUCAACAGAAUAGAAAGAUCAAAACUACAAAUAAAAACUAGCAGGAGGU